AACGAACGCUGGCGGCAUGCCUAACACAUGCAAGUCGAACGAGACCUUCGGGUCUAGUGGCGCACGGGUGCGUAACGCGUGGGAAUCUACCCUUGGGUUCGGAAUAACUUCGGGAAACUGAAGCUAAUACCGGAUGAUGACGUAAGUCCAAAGAUUUAUCGCCCAAGGAUGAGCCCGCGUAGGAUUAGCUAGUUGGUGAGGGAAAGGCUCACCAAGGCUACGAUCCUUAGCUGGUCUGAGAGGAUGAUCAGCCACACUGGGACUGAGACACGGCCCAGACUCCUACGGGAGGCAGCAGUGGGGAAUAUUGGACAAUGGGCGAAAGCCUGAUCCAGCAAUGCCGCGUGAGUGAUGAAGGCCUUAGGGUUGUAAAGCUCUUUUACCCGGGAUGAUAAUGACAGUACCGGGAGAAUAAGCUCCGGCUAACUUCGUGCCAGCCGCCGCCGUAACAC
rnacentral:rRNA from 1 species